GGAGUGGGCGAGGCGGUCGCCGCUCCAUCCCGCGAGGGAAAUGGAGAGGAGGAAAGUCCGAACUCCACAGGGCAGGAUGGUCGCUAACGGCGACUCCGGGCGACCGGGGGAAAGUGCCACAGAAAACACACCGCCCGCGAGGGUAAGGGUGAAAAGGUGAGGUAAGAGCUCACCGCCCCGGCGGCGACGUCGGGGGCACGGCAAACCCCAUCCGGAGCAAGGCCAAACGGACCCCGUUUUGGGACGGCCCGUCCCAGGGGGUAGGUCGGCCGCUCGUCCUCCGGGGCAACCCGGGGGCUAGACAAAUGACCGCUCCCGCCUCCGGCGGGAACAGAAUUCGGCUUAUGUCCCGCUCCGGCC
rnacentral:RNase_P_RNA from 1 species